rnacentral:rRNA from 1 species
AUUGAACGCUGGCGGCAUGCUUUACACAUGCAAGUCGAACGGUAACAGGUUAAGCUGACGAGUGGCGAACGGGUGAGUAAUAUAUCGGAACGUGCCCAGUCGUGGGGGAUAACUGCUCGAAAGAGCAGCUAACACCGCAUACGACCUGAGGGUGAAAGCGGGGGAUCGCAAGACCUCGCGCGAUUGGAGCGGCCGAUACCAGAUUAGGUAGUUGGUGGGGUAAAGGCCUACCAAGCCUACGAUCUGUAGCUGGUCUGAGAGGACGACCAGCCACACUGGGACUGAGACACGGCCCAGACUCCUACGGGAGGCAGCAGUGGGGAAUUUUGGACAAUGGACGCAAGUCUGAUCCAGCCAUGCCGCGUGCGGGAAGAAGGCCUUCGGGUUGUAAACCGCUUUUGUCAGGGAAGAAAAGGUUCUGGUUAAUACCUGGGACUCAUGACGGUACCUGAAGAAUAAGCACCGGCUAACUACGUGCCAGCCGCCGCCGUAACAC